AAAAGAUCAUGCAUGUGCCAACACACUUGUGCUUGAUUUAAAAACUAUUACAUAUUGUUUCUUCAUUGCUAUGGAAUAAAGGCAUAGAUAACAUAAUUAGAUGAGUCAGUUAAUUUUUGGUUGAGCAUAGAGGAACAAAUUCUGUUUCCUUGGACAUUAACCUGGAUAAUUCUAUAUUAUUAUGGUCCUUAUCCGGGUACUGAGGAUAUACCCUUUUUUCUUGUGGAGAGAAUUUAAUUUUCCUGUGUAAGUAAUUAUCUGAUUCAACUAACGUUUUCACAUAGGAAACUUUGGUUUUUUUAGAUGCCUCUAAAAUGCCAUCUGUGUCUUGUCAUGAUUAUGAUAUUAGUAUUUUAUUGAUAAAUAUUCAUCCUAUAUUUUCUCAUGUUGGUUUUGUGGAUAUAUGGCCACCCCCACAGGCCCACACAACACACCCCUCCCCUUCCGCGUCCUUUUUCUGGUCCUUAUCUUGUAGUUAUCUGAUGUAUAUUUCUUUCUGGCCCUAUUGUAUUUUGCAGCCGGUUGAUACUCCAAUGGCAUCA
rnacentral:misc_RNA from 1 species